AUGAAGGGGAGCAGCUUGGUGUUCAUGGUUGCUUUUUUGUGCAUCGGCUAUCUUGUAGUGAUUGGGCAGUGUCGCCUCAUGGAUGGAAGGAGCCACCGAGACCGUCAUGCCAACUCAAGUGCUAAUCCUAUAUUAUACUCGUCAUUAGAUGAGAGCAGGCUUACCCUGGAAUUUUGUGUCGAACGGGAUUGUAAGACCAAAAGCGACAAAAUUUCUUGGGACCAAUGCAUGUGCUGCCUUACGCUGCGGGAUCUUCCAUGCUGGCGUACACGAGACGAGUGUAAAGCGAAUUGCCCGGCGUGCAACCCCAAAUGUUAG
rnacentral:rRNA from 1 species